UACAGAGGGUGCGAGCGUUGUUCGGAAUUAUUGGGCGUAAAGGGCGCGUAGGCGGCGCGGUAAGUCACCUGUGAAAUCUCCUGGCUCAACUGGGAGCUUGCAGGCGAAACUGCCGUGCUGGAGUGUGGGAGAGGUGCGUGGAAUUCCUGGUGUAGCGGUGAAAUGCGUAGAUAUCAGGAGGAACACCGGCGGCGAAGGCGGCCCUCUGGAUCGUUGCUGACGCUGAGACGCGAAAGCGUGGGGAGCAAACAGG
rnacentral:rRNA from 1 species